CGGUUAGGAUCUUAUUUCGAAAAACCAACCAAUUAAAGAUUUUAUUCUUUCUAGUAUUGGAAGUCUCUAGUUGAUCUUUGCAAAAGUUGAUAUAGUAAUAAAACAAACUCAUUGAUACAGUAAUAAAAUAUGUAGACAUACAUACUAAUUUCAAACUGUUUUAUGUAACUAUUUUAUGCAAUUGUGGAUUAUCUGCCUUCACUGUUUUAUGCAACUGUGGGAGAUGGUUACAUACGUUCUUUUUGUGGAUGCUCCUUAUCUAUUGCCUGCAACCAGUUUACCUUUCUGUAUUUAUUUCCUAUGGUUCAUUACAAGAAUUAUAGCAUUUACAAGUCUACUGAAGUUACAGUAAUAUUUUCCA
rnacentral:lncRNA from 1 species